UACGUAGGGUGCAAGCGUUGUCCGGAAUUAUUGGGCGUAAAGAGCUCGUAGGCGGUUUGUUGCGUCGGCUGUGAAAUCCCGAGGCUCAACCUCGGGUCUGCAGUCGAUACGAGCAAACUAGAGUGUUGCAGGGGAGACUGGAAUUCCUGGUGUAGCGGUGAAAUGCGCAGAUAUCAGGAGGAACACCGGUGGCGAAGGCCGGGUCUCUGGGCAACAACUGA
rnacentral:rRNA from 1 species